AUUGCCCCAGUAACGGCGAGUGAAGCGGCAAGAGCUCAAAUUUGAAAGCUGGCUCCUUCGGGGUCCGCAUUGUAAUUUGCAGAGGAUGCUUCGGGAGCGGUCCCCAUCUAAGUGCCCUGGAACGGGACGUCAUAGAGGGUGAGAAUCCCGUAUGGGAUGGGGUGUCCGCGCCCGUGUGAAGCUCCUUCGACGAGUCGAGUUGUUUGGGAAUGCAGCUCUAAAUGGGUGGUAAAUUUCAUCUAAAGCUAAAUAUUGGCCGGAGACCGAUAGCGCACAAGUAGAGUGAUCGAAAGAUGAAAAGCACUUUGAAAAGAGAGUUAAAAAGCACGUGAAAUUGUUGAAAGGGAAGCGCUUGCGACCAGACUCGCUCGCGGGGUUCAGCCGGCAUUCGUGCCGGUGUAUUUCCCCGCGGGCGGGCCAGCGUCGGUUUGGGCGGUCGGUCAAAGGCCCUCGGAAGGUAACGCCCCUAGGGGCGUCUUAUAGCCGAGGGUGCAAUGCGACCUGCCUAGACCGAGGAACGCGCUUCGGCUCGGACGCUGGCAUAAUGGUCGUAAGCGACCCGUCUUGAAACACGGACCAAGGAGUCUAACAUCUACGCGAGUGUUCGGGUGUCAAACCCGUGCGCGAAGUGAAAGCGAACGGAGGUGGGAACCCUUACGGGUGCACCAUCGACCGAUCCUGAAGUCUUCGGAUGGAUUUGAGUAAGAGCGUAGCUGUUGGGACCCGAAAGAUGGUGAACUAUGCCUGAAUAGGGCGAAGCCAGAGGAAACUCUGGUGGAGGCUCGUAGCGGUUCUGACGUGCAAAUCGAUCGUCGAAUUUGGGUAUA
rnacentral:rRNA from 1 species